rnacentral:ribozyme from 1 species
UGCCCAGCAACUCCUAUCCCUACUUCCUCGUGGUACCGGCCGGAAACUACGAGCAACCUUAGGGAAGAUCGGGUAACCAACCCCGGUGGGAACUUUGGUCAUAGGCUGACAGGGAAGG